AUCCUGGAGCCCUUUUGGGGCACCUGGCUGGCUCAGUCAGCAGAGCAUGUGACUCUUGAUCUGGGGGUUGUAAGUUCAAGCAUGCUGGGUGUAGAGAUUAUCUAAAAAUAAAAUCUUUUUUUUAAUGUUUAUUUAUUUGGGGGGGGGCAGAGAGAGAGGAAGACAAAGGAUCUGAAGUGGGCUCUGUGCUGAAAGCAGAGAGCCCAACACGGGGCUCAAACUCACAGACCAUGAGAUCAUGACCUGAAACUAAGUCAGACAGUUAACCGAUUGAGCCACUCAGGCACCCAAAAAAUAAAAUAUUUUUAAGUUUUUUUUUUUAAGUUUCUGUAUUUAUUUUGAAGGAGAGGGAGCACAAGUGGGGGAGGAACAGAGAGAGAGAGAGAGAGAGAGAAUCCCAAUCAGGCUCUGCACUGUCAGCACAGAGCCCCAUGCAGGGCUCGAACCCAUGAACUGUGAGGCCACGACCUGAGCUGAAUUCAAAAGUUGGACGCUCAACUGAUUGAGCCACCUGGAUGCCCCAUAAAAUAUUUUUUUAAAAAUAGGGAAAAGAUAAAUCCUGGAGCUCUUUCUUCUUGCUCCACAAUGACCUGGCUGCUGUCCCAGCUGCCACACACCUGUCACCUCAGGACACCUGUCUCCCAUCAGCAGCACCCCAGGGAGCCCUGGACCCAGACCCAGCCCCACCCCAUGCUGGGUCUCCUACUGCUGCCGGAUCCCAUUUCUCUCUCUCUUUCUCUCUCUCAUUUAAUGUUUGUUUAAUUUUGAGAGAUAGAGACAGAGCACAAGCAGGGGAGGAGCAGAGAGAGGGGGAGACACAGAAUCCGAGGCAGGCUCCAGGUUCUGAGCUGUCAGCACAGAGCCCAAUGUGGGGCUCGAACUCUGGACCAGCAAGAUCAUGGCUCAACCCAAAGUCAGACAUUUAACUGACUGAGACACCCAGGCGCCCCCCUCCCCCACCCCGGCAAUUUCUCUCUUGAGUACACCUUCUUUGGCUGACACACAUCCUUCCAUAAACUUCCUGAGACAGUGUGCCCAUAGAGUAAAUAUUUUGAGACUUUGCAUAACUGAAACUUCCCUUUUGCUGUCCUCGUUACUCUUUCUUUAGUUUGGGUAUAAAAUUCUAGUUUUGAUAUUAUUCUUCCUUGGAAUUUUGUCUUCUAAUUUUCAGUGUUGCAGUUAAGAAAUCAGGAGCAGGGGCACCUGGGUCGCUCACUCGGUUAAUCAGACUCUUGAUUUUGGCUCAGGUCGUAAGAUCAAGCUCUGCAUGGGGCUCUGUGCUGGGUGCCUACUUGGGAUUCUGAGUCUUAGUCCUUUAGAUGAGACCUCUUUUGUUUGUUUCUGGAUACUUUGGGGUAGUAAAUUUCACAUCGGUGAGGUUUUGUUUCUUUCUUUCCCAAAUUCCUUCUUGCUAAGCAUUCAGCAGGCUGUACGUGUUCUGUAUUUCUGUGACAUUUCCCUACACUCUUUUGUUGAUGAUUUCCCCCCACUUCACUUUCUUCUCUCUCCAAAAUUCCUGAAAUUCAGCUGUGGAACCUCCUGGGUUGACUUUCUAAUUUCCACAUGUUUUUCACUCACAUUCUCAGUAUAUGUGCUGAAGAGAGCGCUCACUCAUGUUUUCAAUCUCUUUGUCUUUUUGUUCUAUUUGCUGGCAUAUUUCCUUAACCUUCUCCCUCUCUCUUUUUUUAAGAUUUUAUUUUUUUAUUAAAAAUUUUUAAUGUGUAUUUAUUUUUGAGAAAGACAAAGACACAGAGCGUGAGAAGAGGAGGGGCAGAGAGAGGGAGACGCAGAAUCUGAGGCAGGCUCCAGGCUCCAAGCUGUCAGCACAGAGCCCAACGUGGGGCUCAAACUCAUAGACCGUGAGAUCAUGACCUGAGCUGAAGUCGAAGGCUUAACCAACUGAGCCACCCAGUGUAAACACAUAAAAUUCUUAGAUCUCUGGCUGUACAAAAGCAAGUGGCAAGCUGCGUUUGACCCAGUGGCAGAAGCGUAUGGAUCCCCUUCCUGGAAUAUGAUGGUCUAGAGAUGUCUGUCAAAAUCCUCUGAAGCUGUCUUCCCCUUCCCCUUAGCAAAGCCUCCCAGCGCUCAUUUUUGCCUGUAGGUAUAAGGGCUGCAGGUCCUCUCCCUCCCUCAUGCAGCCUCCAAAAUGUGCCAUGGAAAUUUAGACACUUAGGAAUUGCCUUGGAACAGAACUGUUGGUAACAGCGACUCUAGGAUUUGCUGCCAGUUUCUCCCCCCCGCCCCGCGGGUGGAACAAGUUGUUGAUUGUUCUCUUUCCCUGGAUUUUAACCAAGGUGAUAAAUGAGUCCCAGAGGAAGAGACCUCGGGGAAAGGUGGCUGCUCUGAGCCAGAGCCCUGACUCCCAGGCCUUGCGCUUAUCUGCGUAAGAACCUCUGUUUCCAGCAAUAAAGACUGUUCUAAGUGGUCCAG